GGUAUAGCGCCGGAUGAACGGAUAACUCUGAUGACGUUAAUUAAGGAACUAUAAUUCCCUAUACCU
rnacentral:tRNA from 1 species